UGGACUCCAGCAGCUGGUUCUGGUGUCCUGCUUUCCUCUUCAUCCCUAGCUGGCCCACCCUCUGCACCCUCAGCUCAGGUGCACAUGGCCUCCAGAGGCAGCAGACCCAAGCCCCAGAGCAUUCCACUCAGCUUGGAGGGAAUCCAACAGAACCAGCGGAUGUGGUUGGUGAAGCUUCCUAAAUACCUGUCACAGCAGUGGUCUGAAGCUUCUGGAAGCGGUGAAGUAGGGAAGCUGCAGAUUGCCAAAAAUCGGGGAAAGUCUGAAAUCUCAUUUAUCUUGAAUAAGGAACUUACAGACAUUCGGGGUACAGAUGGACAACCUGCCCCGGUCAUUGCUCCCAGGGAGCAUCAGCUUGUCUUGCAGGGGGUCAGAGGCCAGGUCCUCACAGUGCUGACUGAGCGUGCACCGGAUCAGCUCUCCCUGGAAGGAACGGUGGUACAUCGGGGAGAAUGCAGACCUGCUCUGAGUGAAAACUACACGAGGCUGAAGAGAAAGCAAAUAGAGGAGUCUUCCAAACCUGCCAGAACCGUACAGAAACUGGAGAAGGUAGUCACGACCAAUUAUAAACCUGUUGCCAAUCAUCAGUACAAUAUUGAAUAUGAGAAGAAAAAGAAAGAAAAUGGAAAGAGAGUGAAGGCUGAUAAAGACCAAGUUUUAACCUUGCUAUUUGCUGCCUUUGAGAAACACCAGUAUUAUAACAUAAAGGACUUGGUUGGUAUCACUAUGCAACCUGUGGCGUACCUGAAGGAAAUCUUGAAUGAAAUCGGUGUUCAGAAUGUAAAAGGGCCCCACAAAAACACAUGGGAGCUAAAAGCAGAGUACCGGUAUUGUCCGGCAGCAGCUAAGAGUGAGCGAGACAGCCCUUUGUCAAGAAGCGUCAACAUGAGCGGGACAAUCUUCCGAUGCUAAAAGUGAUGUGAGGCUGUGUUAUUGCUAAGAGAUAGGGCGAUUAAAUAUCUUUUUAAGUAUUCACAUUUAGAUUGUAAAACAGGGAAAUAAAAAAAGAUGUAAACGGAGAAAA